UUAUGUUCACGUUGUCUAAAAUUACUAAAACUGAAACGGUGCAGCAAGAUGAGCACUGCCCCUGCGCAAGGAUGACACUCAAAAGAUGCUUGUCAAUUAAAC
ensembl:snRNA U6 U6 spliceosomal RNA